rnacentral:rRNA from 1 species
GUGGGGAAUUUUGGACAAUGGGCGCAAGCCUGAUCCAGCAAUGCCGCGUGCAGGAAGAAGGCCUUCGGGUUGUAAACUGCUUUUGUACGGAACGAAACGGUCCGGGUUAAUACCCUGGGCUAAUGACGGUACCGUAAGAAUAAGCACCGGCUAACUACGUGCCAGCAGCCGCGGUAAUACGUAGGGUGCAAGCGUUAAUCGGAAUUACUGGGCGUAAAGCGUGCGCAGGCGGUUGUGUAAGACAGGCGUGAAAUCCCCGGGCUCAACCUGGGAAUUGCGCUUGUGACUGCACAGCUGGAGUGCGGCAGAGGGGGAUGGAAUUCCGCGUGUAGCAGUGAAAUGCGUAGAUAUGCGGAGGAACACCGAUGGCGAAGGCAAUCCCCUGGGCCUGCACUGACGCUCAUGCACGAAAGCGUGGGGAGCAAACAGGAUUAGAAACCCGUGUAGUCC